GUGCCAGCCGCCGCGGUAAUACGGAAUGUGCAAACGUUAUUCGGAAUCACUGGGCUUAAAGAGUCCGUAGGCGGCUUGUUAGGUGAGGUGUGAAAUCCCCCGGCUCAACCGAGGAAUUGCGCUUCAAACCGGCAAGCUUGAGGAGGAUAGAGGUGGGCGGAACUGAUGGUGGAGCGGUGAAAUGCGUUGAUAUCAUCAGGAACACCGGAGGCGAAAGCGGUCCACUGGGUCCUUUCUGACGCUGAGGGACGAAAGCUAGGGGAGCGAACGGGAUUAGAAACCCCCGUAGUCC
rnacentral:rRNA from 1 species